CUUCUCCUACGGGACGCAGCAGUGGGGGAUAUUGCACAAUGGGGGGAACCCUGAUGCAGCGACGCCGCGUGGGUGAAGGAGCGUUUCGGCGCGUAAAGCCCUAUCGGCAGGGAAGAAGAUGACGGUAUCUGACCAAGAAGCCCCGGCUAACUACGUGCCAGCAGCUGCGGUAAUACGUAGGGGGCAAGCGUUAUCCGGAUUUACUGGGUGUAAAGGGGGCGCAGACGGCAAUGCAAGCCAGGAGUGAAAGCCCGGGGCCCAACCCCGGGACUGCUCUUGGGACUGCAUGGCUGGAGGACAGGAGG
rnacentral:rRNA from 1 species